rnacentral:rRNA from 1 species
UGGGGAAUAUUGCGCAAUGGGGGAAACCCUGACGCAGCGACGCCGCGUGCGGGAUGAAGGCCUUCGGGUUGUAAACCGCUUUUGAUUGGGAGCAAGCUUUCGGGUGAGUGUACCUUUCGAAUAAGCGCCGGCUAACUACGUGCCAGCAGCCGCGGUAAUACGUAGGGCGCAAGCGUUAUCCGGAAUUAUUGGGCGUAAAGAGCUUGUAGGCGGUUCGUCGCGUCGGGUGUGAAAGCCCAUCGCUUAACGGUGGGUUUGCGCCGGGUACGGGCGGGCUAGAGUGCAGUAGGGGAGACUGGAAUUCCCGGUGUAACGGUGGAAUGUGUAGAUAUCGGGAAGAACACCAAUGGCGAAGGCAGGUCUCUGGGCUGUUACUGACGCUGAGGCUCGAAAGCGUGGGGAGCGAACAGG